rfam:Candidatus Nealsonbacteria bacterium RBG_13_36_15 RBG_13_scaffold_3255, whole genome shotgun sequence.
UGGGAGGUCAUCUAAAGGUAGGAUACGGGUCUCUGGAACCUGGCAUGAUGGUUCGAGUCCAUCCCUCCCAG